rnacentral:lncRNA from 1 species
UGUGCGUGCAUGAAGGGUGUUCAUGCAUUGGGUUUUGGGCGCUCUCCUUUCUCAUUUGGGUUUUCUUUUUGGAUGAGGUAAGGACUCCUAAUUAGAUGAGUCUUUUGAUCAGAUUUGGGUUCCACAUCUAUUUAAAGAAGGGACCCAACUACCGGUGGGGUGUGAAUAAUUUUGUGUGAUAAAUAUUUUCCACAACACCAUGAGAUAGAGAGCCUCUUAUGCGACAAGAAAAAUAAGGAGGGCGCUGAUUUAGGGGGACGGCUUCCUCUUGGUGUCUUCUCUCUUGGGUGCUCCUUCUUAGGCAUGAA